CGUACUGUUGUAAGUCAAGAACGGGUGUGAGAGUGGAAAGUUCACACUGUGACGGUAGCUUACCAGAAAGGGACGGCGUAACUACGUGCCAGCAGCCGCGGUAAUACGUAGGUCCCGAGCGUUGUCCGGAUUUAUUGGGCGUAAAGCGAGCGCAGGCGGUUUGAUAAGUCUGAAGUUAAAGGCUGUGGCUCAACCAUAGUUCGCUUUGGAAACUGUCAAACUUGAGUGCAGAAGGGGAGAGUGGAAUUCCAUGUGUAGCGGUGAAAUGCGUAGAUAUAUGGAGGAACACCGGUGGCGAAAGCGGCUCUCUGGUCUGUAACUGACGCUGAGGCUCGAAAGCGUGGGGAGCGAACAGGAUUAGAUACCCUGGUAGUCCACGCCGUAAACGAUGAGUGCUAGGUGUUGGAUCCUUUCCGGGAUUCAGUGCCGCAGCUAACGCAUUAAGCACUCCGCCUGGGGAGUACGACCGCAAGGUUGAAACUCAAAGGAAUUGACGGGGGCCCGCACAAGCGGUGGAGCAUGUGGUUUAAUUCGAAGCAACGCGAAG
rnacentral:rRNA from 1 species